AAGGCUUGACAUAUACCGGAAAGCAUCAGAGAUGGUGCCCCCCUUGUGGUCGGUAUACAGGUGGUGCAUGGCUGUCGUCAGCUCGUGUCGUGAGAUGUUGGGUUAAGUCCCGCAACGAGCGCAACCCUUGUUCUGUGUUGCCAGCAUGCCUUUCGGGGUGAUGGGGACUCACAGGAGACUGCCGGGGUCAACUCGGAGGAAGGUGGGGACGACGUCAAGUCAUCAUGCCCCUUAUGUCUUGGGCUGCACACGUGCUACAAUGGCCGGUACAAUGAGCUGCGAUGCCGUGAGGCGGAGCGAAUCUCAAAAAGCCGGUCUCAGUUCGGAUUGGGGUCUGCAACUCGACCCCAUGAAGUCGGAGUUGCUAGUAAUCGCAGAUCAGCAUUGCUGCGGUGAAUACGUUCCCGGGCCUUGUACACACCGCCCGUCACGUCACGAAAGUCGGUAACACCCGAAGCCGGUGGCCCAACCCCUUGUGGGAGGGAGCUUCGAA
rnacentral:rRNA from 1 species